rnacentral:rRNA from 1 species
AAUAGAUACCCGGUAGUCCAUGCCGUAAACGUCGGGCACUAGGUGUGGGGCUCAUUCCACGAGUUCCGUGCCGCAGCAAACGCAUUAAGUGCCCCGCCUGGGGAGUACGGCCGCAAGGCUAAAACUCAAAGGAAUUGACGGGGGCCCGCACAAGCGGCGGAGCAUGCGGAUUAAUUCGAUGCAACGCGAAGAACCUUACCAAGGCUUGACAUGCACGAGAAGCCACCAGAGAUGGUGGUCUCUUUGGACACUCGUGCACAGGUGGUGCAUGGUUGUCGUCAGCUCGUGUCGUGAGAUGUUGGGUUAAGUCCCGCAACGAGCGCAACCCUCGUCCCAUGUUGCCAGCGGGUUAUGCCGGGGACUCAUGGGAGACUGCCGGGGUCAACUCGGAGGAAGGUGGGGAUGACGUCAAAUCAUCAUGCCCCUUAUGUCUUGGGCUUCACGCAUGCUACAAUGGCCGGUACAAAGGGCUGCGAUACCGUAAGGUGGAGCGAAUCCCAAAAAGCCGGUCUCAGUUCGGAUUGGGGUCG